GGGGGCUGCUCUGGACUAGCGGCGGACGGGUGAGUAAUGCUUAGGAAUCUGCCUAUUAGUGGGGGACAACAUCUCGAAAGGGAUGCUAAUACCGCAUACGUCCUACGGGAGAAAGCAGGGGAUCUUCGGACCUUGCGCUAAUAGAUGAGCCUAAGUCGGAUUAGCUAGUUGGUGGGGUAAAGGCCUACCAAGGCGACGAUCUGUAGCGGGUCUGAGAGGAUGAUCCGCCACACUGGGACUGAGACACGGCCCAGACUCCUACGGGAGGCAGCAGUGGGGAAUAUUGGACAAUGGGCGCAAGCCUGAUCCAGCCAUGCCGCGUGUGUGAAGAAGGCCUUAUGGUUGUAAAGCACUUUAAGCGAGGAGGAGGCUACUUUAGAUAAUACCUAGAGAUAGUGGACGUUACUCGCAGAAUAAGCACCGGCUAACUCUGUGCCAGCAGCCGCGGUAAUACAGAGGGUGCAAGCGUUAAUCGGAUUUACUGGGCGUAAAGCGCGCGUAGGCGGCUAAUUAAGUCAAAUGUGAAAUCCCCGAGCUUAACUUGGGAAUUGCAUUCGAUACUGGUUAGCUAGAGUGUGGGAGAGGAUGGUAGAAUUCCAGGUGUAGCGGUGAAAUGCGUAGAGAUCUGGAGGAAUACCGAUGGCGAAGGCAGCCAUCUGGCCUAACACUGACGCUGAGGUGCGAAAGCAUGGGGAGCAAACAGGAUUAGAUACCCUGGUAGUCCAUGCCGUAAACGAUGUCUACUAGCCGUUGGGGCCUUUGAGGCUUUAGUGGCGCAGCUAACGCGAUAAGUAGACCGCCUGGGGAGUACGGUCGCAAGACUAAAACUCAAAUGAAUUGACGGGGGCCCGCACAAGCGGUGGAGCAUGUGGUUUAAUUCGAUGCAACGCGAAGAACCUUACCUGGCCUUGACAUAGUAAGAACUUUCCAGAGAUGGAUUGGUGCCUUCGGGAACUUACAUACAGGUGCUGCAUGGCUGUCGUCAGCUCGUGUCGUGAGAUGUUGGGUUAAGUCCCGCAACGAGCGCAACCCUUUUCCUUAUUUGCCAGCGAGUAAUGUCGGGAACUUUAAGGAUACUGCCAGUGACAAACUGGAAGGAAGGCGGGGACGACGUCAAGUCAUCAUGGCCCUUACGGCCAGGGCUACCCACGUGCUACAAUGGUCGGGACAAAGGGUUGCUACCCAGCGAUGUGAUGCUAAUCUCAAAAAGCCGAUCGUAAUCCGGAUUGGAGUCUGAACUUCGACUCCUUGAAAUCGGAAUCCCUAGGAAUCCCGGAUCCAAAUGCCNCGUGGAUCCUUCCGGNGCNCUNUUUUACACCCCCCCCUUAAAA
rnacentral:rRNA from 1 species